AGGUGAAGCAUCUCUAUCAGGGGGUGCUGGGGAAGUUGAGAGAGCUCCACCCUGGCUGGAGGAUGUUUGGAGGGAAAACCGAAGGUCUGGAGAGGCAGGUGGAGCAGGAGAUGGUGCGACGAAGAGCACUGGGCAAUCAGCUGACACAGCUGCUGGACAGCCAGCUGCAGAUCCUGCGGGUGGAGAUGAGAGCACAGCAGGCCAUGCAGAAGACCUUCAGAGCACGACUGAGAGAGAGCGCGAGGCUUCUGAGACUGCUGGCUGAGGGUCAGACCUCGCUCUGGGAUAAACACAUCAAGCAACAUGUUCUGGAGCGGGUAGCUGUGCUGGCUGAUGAGAUGACUGAGAAGGUAUCAGUGGAGAGCCAGAGGCUGGGGGCCUGGGUUGUGCUUAAAGAGGGCACUGGAGCACAGCUAUUAUGCCCUGCUACUGGAUCAGUCCUCAGUAGGGAAGACAUCAUCGCUCCUGAUGGAUCUCUUAGAGCUUGUGAUGCCGUUCAUGUAAACCCCCUCACAGGCCUCAUUCAGCCCAACUCUAACGCCCAUAUGUUACUGGCCAGUGGACACAGCAUGCCAGUUCCCCCGGACUUCUUCCUACACUCCCAGACUGGCAAACUACUGCCUAUGGCUGGAAACGUGGGCUUUGAUCCUGUUUCCUCCACCCUUGUCUUUACAGCCGAUGCUUGUGUGGAUGUUACAUUGUUAUGGCAAUGAAGCUGUAACCCGGAUUUUUGCUUUUUCAAAAAAGAAGAGGGGAGGUGGGAAAAUGGGAACUACCCCUGCUGCCUUUCAUUCCGUACCCUCCGUCCCGCCACGCCGAACUUCAUGCUGCUUCCAAACUACGGGGGCUUCGUUCAGGCCAAAGGCUGAUGCUUGGAGGACCCAUGUGUGACUGUGACACUGGUGUUUUGGUGCCUAUUCAGGCAGUCACCAUCCAUCCACAAACAGGAUUGGUUUAUCCUUUGGGAGGCGUGCACACGUGUCCCAUCUCACGCCUGUGGCAGCCUAUUCAAAUAGGCUCUCCCAUGCUGGACCCACGUACAGGUGACCUAGUGCUCAUCACGGGCAUCACUCUUGAUCCCCAUACAG
ensembl:lncRNA